rnacentral:tRNA from 1 species
GGAUUGUGGCUCAACGGUAGAGUGAUUGCCUUGCAUGUGCGAGACUUGGGUUCGAUCCUCAGCACCA